rnacentral:lncRNA from 1 species
UUUUUUUGGGUUGUUAGAUCUAAGUUCAAAGUGUUUGAUUGCCAUUAAAUCUAGUCCAUGUCUUUUUGCAUUUUGAUUCAAGUCCUUUGACUUUUAUACUUCAAUUUUUACACCAAUUUUCCCUUUGAACUAAAAUUGAUUAAUUUAAAAAUAAUGAUUUCGUGCAUCUUUUUCCUCCUCAUUCAAAUUUUGACUUCUAAAUUUUUUUAUUUCAGUCAUAAGGCACCUGCAACAAUAAAAAAAAAUCAUCAAUAAACAAUAUAUCUAUCUAUACGGUAAAAACCCAUUUAACGAAUACACAAUUUUUU